rnacentral:rRNA from 1 species
GAUGAACGCUGGCGGCGUGCCUAACACAUGCAAGUCGAACGAGUGGCGGACGGGUGAGUAAUGUAUGGGAAACUGCCCGAUGGAGGGGGAUAACUACUGGAAACGGUAGCUAAUACCGCAUACCCUCGGAUGAGCCCAUAUGGGAUUAGCUAGUAGGUGGGGUAACGGCUCACCUAGGCGACGAUCCCUAGCUGGUCUGAGAGGAUGACCAGCCACACUGGAACGGAGACACGGUCCAGACUCCAACGGGGGGCAGCAGGGGGGAAUAUUGCACAAUGGGCGCAAGCCUGAGGCAGCCAGGCCGCGUGGAUGAAGAAGGCCUUCGGGUUGUAAAGUACGUGCAGCGGGGAGGCGUUACCCGCAGAAGAAGCACCGGCUAACUCCGUGCCAGCAGCCGCGGUAAUAC